rnacentral:rRNA from 1 species
GAUGAACGCUGGCGGCGUGCCUAAUACAUGCCAGUCGAGCGAACAGACGAGGAGCUUGCUCCUCUGACGUUAGCGGCGGACGGGUGAGUAACACGUGGAUAACCUACCUAUAAGACUGGGAUAACUUCGGGAAACCGGAGCUAAUACCGGAUAACAUGUUGAACCGCAUGGUUCAACAGUGAAAGACGGUCUUGCUGUCACUUAUAGAUGGAUCCGCGCCGCAUUAGCUAGUUGGUAAGGUAACGGCUUACCAAGGCAACGAUGCGUAGCCGACCUGAGAGGGUGAUCGGCCACACUGGAACUGAGACGCGGUCCAGACUCCUACGGGAGGCAGCAGUAGGGAAUCUUCCGCAAUGGGCGAAAGCCUGACGGAGCAACGCCGCGUGAGUGAAGAAGGUCUUCGGAUCGUAAAACUCUGUUAUUAGGGAAGAACAAAUGUGUAAGUAACUAUGCACGUCCUGACGGUACCUAAUCAGAAAGCCACGGCUAACUACGUG